UGGCGGACGGGUGAGUAACACGUAUGCAACCUACCUGUAAGCGGGGAAUAACCCGGAGAAAUUCGGACUAAUACCGCAUAAGACUGCGAAACCGCAUGGUUUUGCAAUUAAACAUUUAUGGCUUACAGAUGGGCAUGCGUAUGAUUAGAUAGUUGGUGAGGUAACGGCUCACCAAGUCAACGAUCAUUAGGGGUUCUGAGAGGAAGGUCCCCCACACUGGUACUGAGACACGGACCAGACUCCUACGGGAGGCAGCAGUGAGGAAUAUUGGUCAAUGGGCGAGAGCCUGAACCAGCCAAGUCGCGUGAAGGAAGAAGGUUCUAUGGAUUGUAAACUUCUUUUGUAAGGGAAUAAAAAGAGUUACGUGUAACUUAUUGUAUGUACUUUACGAAUAAGGAUCGGCUAACUCCGUGCCAGCAGCCGCGGUAAU
rnacentral:rRNA from 1 species